rnacentral:lncRNA from 1 species
CAUAUUUACACUGUAUUCCAUUCCAGCGCGAUGACUCAGAAUUCAGAAGGUUGGUGCUUCAGCCACCCACAGCAGGUUUUCCAGGACACUGGAAGGGCUAAUGUCCUCUUGUUGACACUUGAAAAUGAAGCUGAUGGCCCCGCCCUGAUGAGAUGGGAAGGAAACAAGAGCCAACCCAGCUUUUUAACUUUGACUUCCGCUACAGUUUAGCACUCUGCCUUGGAGCUGAUGAAAUCCCGCUACCUGGGGGAGCAGGAAAACUAGAAGACAGUCUUUUGGCAAACUAAGCUGAAACAAAACAUUCCCUGUGGCGAUUCAACCUAGCUCCGAUUCCCAGGUCCGAUUCAACCCCUAGCCUGGUUUUAAAUGGGAUAGUCAGGUUCCAAAGUACUGACAGCAAAAUUACAGCUUAAAUAGGUUUUGUGGUCUUAAGACAUAAUGACUUACCAUUUUUCACUUUGGGGACCAAACCCAUUUCCUUGUCAGGAAAUUCCUCAGCUGGAAGAUUUAGUGAGGCCAAAAGUUAAUGUUAACCAUUGAAGAGAUUUUGCUUUCACUUACCUGCCUGGCUUGUAUCACUUACCUGCCUGGCUUGUAUUCUUAGAUUUAUAUGUGCAUAGGUUUAUACAUGCCCUUUCUGAGGUAGGAACUCUUGAUAUUAAAAUAUAUUAUAUGACGGAGUUCC